UACGUAGGGACCAAGCGUUGUUCGGAUUUACUGGGCGUAAAGGGCGCGUAGGCGGCGCGGUAAGUCACUUGUGAAAUCUCUGAGCUUAACUCAGAACGGCCAAGUGAUACUGCAGUGCUAGAGUGUGGAAGGGGCAAUCGGAAUUCUUGGUGUAGCGGUGAAAUGCGUAGAUAUCAAGAGGAACACCUGAGGUGAAGACGGGUUGCUGGGCCAACACCGACACUCAGGGACGAAAGCUAGGGGAGCGAAUGGG
rnacentral:rRNA from 1 species